AGCGAACGCUGGCGGCAGGCCUAACACAUGCAAGUCGAACGAAGUCUUCGGACUUAGUGGCGGACUGGUGAGUAACACGUGGGAACGUACCUUUUGGUUCGGAACAACUCAGGGAAACUUGAGCUAAUACCGGAUGAGCCCUUAGGGGGAAAGAUUUAUCGCCGAAAGAGCGGCCCGCGUUAGAUUAGCUAGUUGGUGAGGUAAAGGCUCACCAAGGCUACGAUCUAUAGCUGGUCUGAGAGGAUGAUCAGCCACACUGGGACUGAGACACGGCCCAGACUCCUACGGGAGGCAGCAGUGGGGAAUCUUGCGCGAUGGGCGAAAGCCUGACGCAGCCAUGCCGCGUGAAUGAUGAAGGUCUUAGGAUUGUAAAAUUCUUUUACCAGGGACGAUAAUGACGGUACCUGGAGAAAAAGCCCCGGCUAACUUCGUGCCAGCCGCCGCGGUAAUAC
rnacentral:rRNA from 1 species